AUCUCAUGGUUCUCUUCAGAUCGUAUAAAUCCUUUCGCCUUUUACUAAAGAUUUCCGUGGGGAGGAAAACACAAUGAGUAUAAUCCUUAAUUUUUUGAUGCCCUGCUUUAUUGCAGGGCU